CCUACGGGGGGCAGCAGUGGGGGAUAUUGCACAAUGGGGGAAACCCUGAUGCAGCGACGCCGCGUGGGUGAAGAAGCGCCUCGGCGCGUAAAGCCCUGUCAGCAGGGAAGAAAAUGACGGUACCUGAAGAAGAAGCCCCGGCUAACUACGUGCCAGCAGCCGCGGUAAUACGUAGGGGGCAAGCGUUAUCCGGAUUUACUGGGUGUAAAGGGGGCGCAGACGGCGAUGCAAGCCAGGAGUGAAAGCCCGGGGCCCAACCCCGGGACUGCCCUUGGAACUGCGUGGCUAGAGUGCAGGAGGGGAAGGCGGAAUUCCUGGUGUAGCGGUGAAAUGCGUAGAUAUCAGGAGGAAAACCGGUGGCGAAGGCGGCCUGCUGGACUGCAACUGACGUUGAGGCCCGAAAGCGUGGGGAGCAAACAGGAUUAGAUACCCGAGUAGUC
rnacentral:rRNA from 1 species